rnacentral:rRNA from 1 species
UACAGAGGGUGCAAGCGUUGUUCGGAAUUAUUGGGCGUAAAGCGCACGUAGGCGGCUUGGCAAGUCGGAUGUGAAAUCCCUCGGCUCAACCAAGGAAGUGCAUCCGAAACUGCUGAGCUUGAGUACUUAAGGGGAUCGCGGAAUUCCCGGUGUAGAGGUGAAAUUCGUAGAUAUCGGGAGGAACACCAGUGGCGAAGGCGGCGAUCUGGGAAGAUACUGACGCUGAGGUGCGAAAGCGUGGGGAGCAAACAGG